GGCUCGUUGGUCUAGGGGUAUGAUUCUCGCUUUGGGUGUGAGAGGUCCUGGGUUCAACUCCCAGAUGAGCCC
rfam:Mesitornis unicolor contig101221, whole genome shotgun sequence.